rnacentral:lncRNA from 1 species
CCUCCUUAUGUUAUCCCUGUUGUUGACAAUACCCUCAAGUUUCGCUAUCUUCUCGAGUGCACCACGGAUCUGAAUCUCGCCGUCUGUCUCAGUCUUGACGAUGUGAGCUCUCAGUCCCUGGACUUCGCGGUCAGCAAGGGCAAGGUCUUCCUUGAGAGCAACGUAGCUAGCAGCGAGUUUGCGGUUGUCACUAGAGAGACGGUCAAUCUCAGCAGCUCGAGCUGCAAUCUUGUUUUCAAGAACGUCGGAAUGGGAGACCCGGUGGUCGGAAGCGGAAGAGAUGGUCUCGUGGUGCCGGGAUGAUGAUGAUGAUGACAUGCCUCGGCUAUAAUGCUUAGAUGAACCUAGCCUCUCCCUUGAAGACAUAUCUGCAAGCCAAGUGUGAUGGAGGAAGCUUGAUUCAAUACAAAGCUAGCUACUUUAUGUGGCAAUGAGAUUCAGCAAUCGAAGAAGAAGCUAGAAGAAACCCAGAAACAAGGGGAAUCAACAAGAGCAGAACUCUAACUAGCGAAAGGAGACAAUCAAUUUCCUAAGAACCCCUGAUCACACGAACCUGAAAUUCACAGGAAGAGAUAGAAAUCCAACACAAGAAGACUAGGAUCGAUUACACCACCACCAACUCUGGUCUCCGCUUGAUUAAUUGUUCCAACUAUUAUUUGUUUCUGCUCUUGCAGCGCAAUCACAAAGUGGGCUGGGCUUAUGUUAAUCCAUCAAGGCCCAUUAGGUUCUGACCAUUAGUUUCAUUUUCAUCCAUGGUUGUCACGUGAGCUGCAUCACGUCACCAAUCUUUUAAUGAUCUGAUCGCUGUCUGAAUCCUCUUGCACAAAAAGCUUACUUGUACUCUGAAAUACAGUGUCAGAGGCGAUGGAGACGGAGAUGGAGUUCUCCGAUGUUGAGCAAACCUAGUGAUAAGUAUAAAAGGAAUGGUCUUUAUGGGACCUCAUGCAUUGGGUUAGAGAAUGGGAUCGAGAGGAAAAGACAGGAACAGGAACAUGAACAGCUGCCUGGUUAAUAUAUCUUUAUCUCUAACGGCAGAACAAAACCUGAUUGCUACCGUUACCGUGUAUCAAAACCAGGGAUGAAAGCUUUUCCUCUAUGACUUUGAGAAGAGACUUCUUUAUGGUUGGUAUCUAUGGAAGCUACUAUUGGCGGCAAGUUGGAUAUAGAAUCACAAGCUUUUGACAAGAAAUAUCCUGCUCAGGUAUUUACCUCUUUAGAUUAAUCUCAACUGAAUGUGACUAUGAUUAUUAUUCUUGGUUUCGGCAGGUUGGAUUUGGAAUUGUUAACAACUGUUAUCCCUUGCCAAAAAGCAUUUUCAAGUCUGCUAUCUAUGAGAAGUACAAAGGCUGCCACAAGUUUAAGCAAGAACUUGCUCCUCACCAAGUAAUACACUCACUCUUCCUUUCGAUUUACAACACAUGUCUCCAAAGUGCCAGGCUGAACAAAAGGAUCAUGGAUUUUCUCCGGUUACCAACAAAGAUCUGGGCAUCACAAUUCAGCACAAGAACUAGUCAUAAGCUUUAUGCAGAUGUCUUCUUCAACUUCACCAUAUCCAAACCUGCAUCACUUCCCAUAUAUAUAUUCUGUCUUCAUAAUGGGCUCGUUCUCGUUUUAAAAGGCUUAGGCUAUUGGGUCCUCCUAGCAUAAAACCAUUAAUAGCUUCAGGGUUUAAGGUUUAAACCUUCUUCUUCUUCUUUUGGAAAACAACAAUAAAAAUGCAGAGAGGAAAGGUGCUUGUGCAAAUCUCACAGUCUCUCGACUUGGCGUAACCAAAACCUCUUGAUGAUGACGAUCCUCUCUACGCCGAUGUACCUAAGCCUCGGAAGGAUUAAUCGGAGAGGAAGCCUAAUCAGACUCCAAUGAAGGAGGAGAAACAGCUGAGGAAAUCACAGCCAGGGUUACUCUCCGGCCUCUCCGAGCAGAUACAAUUGAGUAUCAGCUUUAGUAGAGUCAGGCCCGGCUCAGAAUAUAUUUAGGCCCUGUGCACAAACAAAUUUUUAGGGCCCUUUCUUAUACAAAUCAAAAAAAAUUAGGGCCCUUUUUUUGUGUGUUCAAAAAAACAAAAAUGACCUUUUCAUAUAAAAAAUUAAAACUGUAUGACUCUAAAUAUACAAAAAAUGAUGAGAACCUGUGCCAAAGCACCGUCCGCACACGUCCAGAGCCGGCGCUGAGUAGAGUGUGGAAUCAUAUGGACUACUUUCUCAAUAAAACUAUGUGUGCUUGCUUUGUUUAUGAUUUAGCCUUUUUGAUUUUUCAUGUUUAUGUUAUAGUAAUGUGUUUUCUUUAGUGUUCAAUGAAGUUCAAACCUAGAGUUAUCCACGACGAGAGGUUUACCGUCCCUAAAAUCUAUGCGCUUCUUGAGUUAUGCAUACAAGCAGGAGUAGGUAGAGAUUGACAAGUUCCCAUCGAAGAGAAGAUCCACCAAACCUGUGAACAGCAUUGAAGGACGGAUUGUAGAUUUCGAGGACGUUUAUGGGAAAGCUCCUGCGGCUGUGUGUGCAAGGUGGUGCACCUGUGCCUGAAGAGUACAAGAGUAUGAUGAGGCUCGAUGUGAAGUUGAUCUAGUUGCUUAACCUUUCUAUGAGACUGUUGAUUGAUGUGAAAAAGAUAAACUCAUGUUAUAUAUAUUACGAAAAUUCAGAACACAGUUUUGGUUGGUUCUUUUGCAUCUCUCCCUAAAUAGAAAAGAGAGACCCUCUUUUGAGUCUCAAGCUCUACUCCUUGCGGUUGCGAUCUCACUUCGCAGCUUCUCAAUAGCUUUGACUGCUCCGAUAAUGUUACUCUCCAUCUCUUUCAAUUGCUCAAGUUUCUCUACGUUACGGCUCUUCUCGGCAUCAAACUCUUCCCUGCUCCAUUGAAACCAAAAAUGAUUAAACCAACUGACGAUGAUGAAUCUUUUGACAAGUAAAAGACGUUUCCUUUUACCUUAAUCUCUGGUGCUCUUCUUUCAACCGCUCAAGCUCUUGAACUGAAGACUCUAGACCCUCCGACUCGAGGCAGACCUUCUUCAACUCCUUUACUGCCGCCUUCACCUGUGCAGCUAGCUCCUCGCGUUCUCUGGCUAAUGUAUGAGCCUCAAUGUGAGCUGAUUGCAGCUCCCUCCUUAUGUUAUCCCUGUUGUUGACAAUACCCUCAAGUUUCGCUAUCUUCUCGAGUGCACCACGGAUCUGAAUCUCGCCGUCUGUCUCAGUCUUGACGAUGUGAGCUCUCAGUCCCUGGACUUCGCGGUCAGCAAGGGCAAGGUCUUCCUUGAGAGCAACGUAGCUAGCAGCGAGUUUGCGGUUGUCACUAGAGAGACGGUCAAUCUCAGCAGCUCGAGCUGCAAUCUUGUUUUCAAGAACGUCGGAAUGGGAGACCCGGUGGUCGGAAGCGGAAGAGAUGGUCUCGUG